CAAGACUGCCAUGUUGUGAAACAUCUAUCCAAGGAAGAGUAUAAUGGAUGCACAGCAGCCCUGAUUGUGGGUGGAAAAAACGUCUCUCCGUUUCAUAGGCCAGGGGGAUAUUUAGAGGUUUUCCGGAAUGCAGGAGUUCCUCCCAAACAGAAACUCACCACGUUUUGUGUGUCAGACAACGCCAUCAUCAAACCAGGCACUCCUCUCUAUGCAGCUCACUUCUGUCCAGGACAAUAUGUGGAUGUCACAGC